UCUCCGUAGGUGAACCUGCGGAGGGAUCAUUACACAAUACAAUAUGAAGGCUGUCCGCAGCUGGAGUAUUUUAUUACCCUUGUCUUUUGCGCACUUGUUGUUUCCUGGGCGGGUUCGCUCGCCACCAGGACCACCAAAUAAACCUUUUUUAUGCAGUUGCAAUCAGCGUCAGUACAAACAAUGUAAAUCAUUUACAACUUUCAACAACGGAUCUCUUGGUUCUGGCAUCGAUGAAGAACGCAGCGAAAUGCGAUACGUAGUGUGAAUUGCAGAAUUCAGUGAAUCAUCGAAUCUUUGAACGCACAUUGCGCCCUUUGGUAUUCCAAAGGGCAUGCCUGUUCGAGCGUCAUUUGUACCCUCAAGCUUUGCUUGGUGUUGGGCGUUUUUGUCUUUGGUCGCCCAAAGACUCGCCUUAAAGUGAUUGGCAGCCGGCCUUUCUGGUUUCGCAGCGCAGCACAUUUUUGCGCUUGCCAUCAGCAAAACGGCAAUCCAUCAAGCCUCCUUCUCACGUUUGACCUCGGAUCAGGUAGGGAUACCCGCUGAACUUAA
rnacentral:rRNA from 2 species